rnacentral:rRNA from 1 species
AUUGAACGCUGGCGGAAUGCUUUACACAUGCAAGUCGAACGGCAGCACGGGGGCAACCCUGGUGGCGAGUGGCGAACGGGUGAGUAAUACAUCGGAACGUGCCCGGUCGUGGGGGAUAACGUAGCGAAAGUUACGCUAAUACCGCAUACGAUCUGAGGAUGAAAGCGGGGGACCUUCGGGCCUCGCGCGAUCGGAGCGGCCGAUGUCAGAUUAGGUAGUUGGUGGGGUAAAUGCCUACCAAGCCGACGAUCUGUAGCUGGUCUGAGAGGACGACCAGCCACACUGGGACUGAGACACGGCCCAGACUCCGACGGGAGGCAGCAGUGGGGAAUUUUGGACAAGGGGCGCAAGCCUGAUCCAGCCAUUCCGCGUGCAGGACGAAGGCCUUCGGGUUGUAAACUGCUUUUGUAUGGAACGAAAAGGCUCUGGCUAAUACCUGGGGCUCAUGACGGUACCGUAAGAAUAAGCACCGGCUAACUACGUG